rnacentral:lncRNA from 1 species
UCGUAGAAGUUCGGACGGAGUCUGGUUCUUAUAGAAGCGUGGAUGGAGACUGGUUGCCGUAGAAGCUCGGAUAGAGAUCGCUUACUGUAGAAGCUCGAACGAAGUCCACUUACCGUAGAAGCUCAGAUGAAGUCCACUUACCGUAGCAGCUCGGAUGAAGUCCGCUUGUAAUAGAAGUUUGGAGUAGAAAUUCGAAAGGCGGUCAACCAUUGUAGGAACUAGGAUGGAGUCUGGUUACUGUAGAAGUCCUGCUGCUGAAGAAGCCCAAGCAUUGACGAAGUUCGGAAG